rnacentral:rRNA from 1 species
CCAAUCCUACGGGAGGCAGCAGUAGGGAAUCUUCCACAAUGGACGAAAGUCUGAUGGAGCAACGCCGCGUGAGUGAAGAAGGGUUUCGGCUCGUAAAGCUCUGUUGGUAGUGAAGAAAGAUAGAGGUAGCAACUGGCCUUUAUUUGACGGUAAUUACUUAGAAAGUCACGGCUAACUACGUGCCCGCAGCCGCGGUAAUACGUAGGUGGCAAGCGUUGUCCGGAUUUAUUGGGCGUAAAGCGAGUGCAGGCGGGUGAAUAAGUCUGAUGUGAAA